GACGAACGCUGGCGGCGUGCCUAAUACAUGCAAGUCGAGCGGACUUUCAAGAAGCUUGCUUUUUGAAAGUUAGCGGCGGACGGAUGAGUAACACGUGGGCAACCUGCCUGUAAGACGGGGAUAACUCCGGGAAACCGGGGCUAAUACCGGAUAAUAUCUUUCUUCGCAUGAAGGAAGGUUGAAAGGCGGCGCAAGCUGCCGCUUGCAGAUGGGCCCGCGGCGCAUUAGCUAGUUGGUGAGGUAACGGCUCACCAAGGCGACGAUGCGUAGCGGACCUGAGAGGGUGAUCGGCCACACUGAGACUGAGACACGGCCCAGACUCCUACGGGAGGCAGCAGUAGGGAAUCUUCCGCAAUGGACGAAAGUCUGACGGAGCAACGCCGCGUGAGCGAAGAAGGUCUUCGGAUCGUAAAGCUCUGUUGUCAGGGAAGAACAAGUACCGUUCGAAUAGGGCGGUACCUUGACGGUACCUGACCAGAAAGCCACGGCUAACUACGUGCCAGCCGCCGCAGUAA
rnacentral:rRNA from 1 species